GUGGGGAAUAUUGCGCAAUGGGGGAAACCCUGACGCAGCAACGCCGCGUGAAGGAUGAAGGUUUUCGGAUUGUAAACUUCUUUAGUCGGGGACGAAUAAAUGACGGUACCCGAAGAAUAAGCCACGGCUAACUACGUGCCAGCAGCCGCGGUAAUACGUAGGUGGCAAGCGUUGUCCGGAUUUACUGGGUGUAAAGGGCGUGUAGGCGGGAAUGCAAGUCAGAUGUGAAAUUCCGAGGCUUAACCUCGGCGCUGCAUCUGAAACUGUAUUUCUUGAGUGAUGGAGAGGAAAGCGGAAUUCCUAGUGUAGCGGUGAAAUGCGUAGAUAUUAGGAGGAACACCAGUGGCGAAGGCGGCUUUCUGGACAUUAACUGACGCUGAGGCGCGAAAGCGUGGGGAGCAAACAGGAUUAGAAACCCCGGUAGUCC
rnacentral:rRNA from 1 species